rnacentral:tRNA from 2 species
GAGAACGUGGUGUAACUGGAUAACAUCUCAGACUACGAAUCGGCUAUGGUGAAGGUUCAAGUCCUUCCGUUCUCG